UGGCGGUAUGCCUAACACAUGCAAGUAGAACGGAACCUUCGGGUUUAGUGGCGGACGGGUGAGUAACGCGUGAGAAUCUGCCUUCAGGAUGGGGACAACAGUUGGAAACGACUGCUAAUACCCGAUAUGCAGCAAUGUGAAAGAUUUAUCGCCUGGAGAUGAGCUCGCGUUGGAUUAGCUAGAUGGUGUGGUAAAGGCGCACCAUGGCGACGAUCCAUAGCUGGUCUGAGAGGAUGAGCAGCCACACUGGGACUGAGACACGGCCCAGACUCCUACGGGAGGCAGCAGUGGGGAAUUUUCCGCAAUGGGCGCAAGCCUGACGGAGCAAUACCGCGUGAGGGAGGAAGGCUCUUGGGUCGUAAACCUCUUUUCUCAGGGAAGAACACAAUGACGGUACCUGAGGAAUCAGCAUCGGCUAACUCCGUGCCAGCAGCCGCGGUAAUACGGAGGAUGCAAGCGUUAUCCGGAAUGAUUGGGCGUAAAGCGUCCGUAGGUGGUUUUGUAAGUCUGUGGUUAAUCGUGUAGCUCAACUACAUAACGGCCAUGGAAACUACAAGACUAGAGUUAAGUAGGGGUAGAGGGAAUUCCCAGUGUAGCGGUGAAAUGCGUAGAGAUUGGGAAGAACACCGGUGGCGAAAGCGCUCUACUGGACUUAUACUGACACUGAGGGACGAAAGCUAGGGGAGCGAAAGGGAUUAGAUACCCCUGUAGUCCUAGCCGUAAACGAUGGAUACUAGGUGUUGCCCGUAUCGACCCGGGCAGUGCCGUAGCUAACGCGUUAAGUAUCCCGCCUGGGGAGUACGCACGCAAGUGUGAAACUCAAAGGAAUUGACGGGGGCCCGCACAAGCGGUGGAGUAUGUGGUUUAAUUCGAUGCAACGCGAAGAACCUUACCAGGGCUUGACAUGUCUGGAAUCUUGGGGAAACUUGAGAGUGCCUUCGGGAGCCAGAACACAGGUGGUGCAUGGCUGUCGUCAGCUCGUGUCGUGAGAUGUUGGGUUAAGUCCCGCAACGAGCGCAACCCUCGUUUUUAGUUGCCAUCAUUCAGUUGGGCACUCUAGAAAGACUGCCGGUGACAAACCGGAGGAAGGUGGGGAUGACGUCAAGUCAGCAUGCCCCUUACGCCCUGGGCUACACACGUACUACAAUGCUAUGGACAAAGGGCAGCCAACCAGCGAUGGUGAGCUAAUCCCAUAAACCAUGGCUCAGUUCAGAUCGCAGGCUGCAACUCGCCUGCGUGAAGGCGGAAUCGCUAGUAAUCGCCGGUCAGCAUACGGCGGUGAAUCCGUUCCCGGGCCUUGUACACACCGCCCGUCACACCAUGGGAGUUGGUCACGCCCGAAGUCGUUACUCUAACCGCAAGGAAGAGGACGCCGAAGGUAGGGCUGAUGACUGGGGUGAAGUCGUAACAAGGUA
rnacentral:rRNA from 1 species